CUAACACAUGCAAGUCGAACGGCAGCACAGUAAGAGCUUGCUCUUAUGGGUGGCGAGUGGCGGACGGGUGAGGAAUACAUCGGAAUCUACCUUUUCGUGGGGGAUAACGUAGGGAAACUUACGCUAAUACCGCAUACGACCUUCGGGUGAAAGCAGGGGACCUUCGGGCCUUGCGCGGAUAGAUGAGCCGAUGUCGGAUUAGCUAGUUGGCGGGGUAAAGGCCCACCAAGGCGACGAUCCGUAGCUGGUCUGAGAGGAUGAUCAGCCACACUGGAACUGAGACACGGUCCAGACUCCUACGGGAGGCAGCAGUGGGGAAUAUUGGACAAUGGGCGCAAGCCUGAUCCAGCCAUACCGCGUGGGUGAAGAAGGCCUUCGGGUUGUAAAGCCCUUUUGUUGGGAAAGAAAAGCAGUCGAUUAAUACUCGGUUGUUCUGACGGUACCCAAAGAAUAAGCACCGGCUAACUUCGUGCCAGCAGCCGCGGUAAUACGAAGGGUGCAAGCGUUACUCGGAAUUACUGGGCGUAAAGCGUGCGUAGGUGGUUGUUUAAGUCUGUUGUGAAAGCCCUGGGCUCAACCUGGGAAUUGCAGUGGAUACUGGGCGACUAGAGUGUGGUAGAGGGUAGUGGAAUUCCCGGUGUAGCAGUGAAAUGCGUAGAGAUCGGGAGGAACAUCCAUGGCGAAGGCAGCUACCUGGACCAACACUGACACUGAGGCACAAAGCGUGGGGAGCAACAGGAUAAAUACCUGGUAGUCACCCCUAACGAUGCAACUGGAUGUGGGUGCA
rnacentral:rRNA from 1 species